UACCUUGUUGCUUCGGCGGGCCCGCCGUUUCGACGGCCGCCGGGGAGGCCUUGCGCCCCCGGGCCCGCGCCCGCCGAAGACCCCAACAUGAACGCUGUUCUGAAAGUAUGCAGUCUGAGUUGAUUAUCGUAAUCAGUUAAAACUUUCAACAACGGAUCUCUUGGUUCCGGCAUCGAUGAAGAACGCAGCGAAAUGCGAUAAGUAAUGUGAAUUGCAGAAUUCAGUGAAUCAUCGAGUCUUUGAACGCACAUUGCGCCCCCUGGUAUUCCGGGGGGCAUGCCUGUCCGAGCGUCAUUGCUGCCCUCAAGCACGGCUUGUGUGUUGGGCCCCCGUCCCCCUCUCCCGGGGGACGGGCCCGAAAGGCAGCGGCGGCACCGCGUCCGGUCCUCGAGCGUAUGGGGCUUUGUCACCUGCUCUGUAGGCCCGGCCGGCGCCAGCCGACACCCAACUUUAUUUUUCUAAGGUUGACCUCGGAUCAGGUAGGGAUACCCGCUGAAC
rnacentral:rRNA from 1 species